GACGAACGCUGGCGGCGCGCCUAACACAUGCAAGUCGAACGAGAGAUGAAGAGCUUGCUCUUCAAAUCGAGUGGCGAACGGGUGAGUAACGCGUGAGGAACCUGCCUCAAAGAGGGGGACAACAGUUGGAAACGGCUGCUAAUACCGCAUAAGCCCACGGCUCGGCAUCGAGCAGAGGGAAAAGGAGCAAUCCGCUUUGAGAUGGCCUCGCGUCCGAUUAGCUAGUUGGUGAGGUAACGGCCCACCAAGGCGACGAUCGGUAGCCGGACUGAGAGGUUGAACGGCCACAUUGGGACUGAGACACGGCCCAAACUCCUACGGGAGGCAGCAGUGGGGAAUAUUGCACAAUGGGGGAAACCCUGAUGCAGCGACGCCGCGUGAGUGAUGAAGUAUUUCGGUAUGUAAAGCUCUAUCAGCAGGGAAGAUAAUGACGGUACCUGACUAAGAAGCACCGGCUAAAUACGUGCCAGCAG
rnacentral:rRNA from 1 species